AUUGAACGCUGGCGGCAGGCCUAACACAUGCAAGUCGAACGAGUGGCGGACGGGUGAGUAAUGUCUGGGAAACUGCCCGAUGGAGGGGGAUAACUACUGGAAACGGUAGCUAAUACCGCAUACCAUCGGAUGUGCCCAGAUGGGAUUAGCUUGUAGGGGGGGUAACGGCUCACAUAGGCGACGAUCCCUAGCGGGGCUGCGAGGCUGCCCAGACACACUGGAAGUGAGACAGAGACCAGACUCCUACGGGAGGCAGCAGUGGGGAAUAUUGCACAAGGGGCGCAAGCCUGAUGCAGCCAUGCCGCGUGUGUGAAGAAGGCCUUCGGGUUGUAAAGUACUUUCAGCGAGGAGGCGUUACUCGCAGAGGAAGCACCGGCUAACUACGUGCCAGCAGCCGCGGUAAUAC
rnacentral:rRNA from 1 species